GGAGGGAUACUCAAGUUGGCCGAAGAGGGCGGUUUGCUAAACCGUUAGUAGGCUCUCAAGCCUAGCGUGGGUUCGAAUCCCACUCCCUCCGCCA
rnacentral:tRNA from 2 species